GCAAGCGAGCUGCCAGACGGCGGGGUAAUAGUGAGGGUCCCGGCGUGAAUUGGAAUGUCUGGGGGUAAAGGGUUGGCAGGCGGUUGUGUAAGCGAGAUGGGAAAGCCCUUGGCGCAACCUAGGAAUAGCAUUUCGAACUGGCGAACUAGAGUCUUGUAGAGGGGGGUAGAAUUCCAGGUGUAGCGGUGAAAUGCGUAGAGAUCUGGAGGAAUACCGGUGGCGAAGGCGGCCCCCUGGACAAAGACUGACGCUCAUGCACGAAAGCGUGGGGAGCAAACAGGAUUAGAUACCCUAGUAGUC
rnacentral:rRNA from 1 species